GGAAACCGGAGCUAAUACCGGAUAAUAUUUUGAACCGCAUGGUUCAAAAGUGAAAGACGGUCUUGCUGUCACUUAUAGAUGGAUCCGCGCUGCAUUAGCUAGUUGGUAAGGUAACAGCUUACCAAGGCAACGAUGCGUAGCCGACCUGAGAGGGUGAUCGGCCACACUGGAACUGAGACACGGUCCAG
rnacentral:rRNA from 1 species